GAUGAAGAACGUAGUGAAAUGCGAUAAGUAGUGUGAAUUGCAGAAGUACCGUGAAUCAUCGAAUCUUUGAACGCAAAUUGCACUCUCUGGUAUUCCGGGGAGUAUGCCUGUUUGAGGGUCGCUUAACAAACCAUCGAUUUCGUUGCUUUUUUUUUAAAGUGAUGUUUAUCGGAUUUGAGCCGUCUUUUUUUUUAUAUUUAAGUGGCUUAAAAUUGAUUUUUUUGGUACGAUCGAAGCGUAUUUUUAUGAUCAAUUUUUGGUUAAAGAAACGCACACGUACCGUUAUUUAUAUGAUGUAAUACGUUUGACUAUUGGAUUUAGUUCAUUCGUAUACGAUAUCUUUCAAUAUUUGACCUCAAAUCAGGUAAGAACACCCGCUGAACUUAAGCAUAUCAAUAAGCGGAGGA
rnacentral:misc_RNA from 1 species